rnacentral:rRNA from 1 species
AUUGAACGCUGGCGGCAGGCCUAACACAUGCAAGUCGAACGAGUGGCGGACGGGUUAGUAAUGUCUGGGAAACUGCCCGAUGGAGGGGGAUAACUACUGGAAACGGUAGCUAAUACCGCAUACCAUCGGAUGUGCCCAGAUGGGAUUAGCUAGUUGGUGGGGUAAUGGCUCACCAAGGAGACGAUCCCUAGCUGGUCUGAGAGGAUGACCAGCCACACUGGGACUGAGACACGGCCCAGACUCCUACGGGAGGCAGCAGUGGGGAAUAGUGCGCAAUGGGGGCAAUCCGGACGCAGCCAUGCCGCGUGAAUGAAGAAGGCCUUCGGGUUGUAAAGUUCUUUCGGUAGCGAGGCGUGAACUACAGAAGAAGCACCGGCUAACUCCGUGCCAGCAGCCGCGGUAAUUC